rnacentral:rRNA from 1 species
GAUGAACGCUGGCGGCGUGCCUAAUACAUGCAAGUCGAGCGAACAGACGAGGAGCUUGCUCCUCUGACGUUAGCGGCGGACGGGUGAGUAACACGUGGAUAACCUACCUAUAAGACUGGGAUAACUUCGGGAAACCGGAGCUAAUACCGGAUAAUAUAUUGAACCGCAUGGUUCAAUAGUGAAAGACGGUUUUGCUGUCACUUAUAGAUGGAUCCGCGCCGCAUUAGCUAGUUGGUAAGGUAACGGCUUACCAAGGCAACGAUGCGUAGCCGACCUGAGAGGGUGAUCGGCCACACUGGAACGGAGACACGGUCCAGACUCCUAGGGGAGGCAGCAGUAGGGAAUCUUCCGCAAUGGGCGAAAGCCUGACGGAGCAACGCCGCGGGAGUGAUGAAGGUCUUCGGAUCGUAAAACGCUGUUAUUAGGGAAGAACAAAGGUGUAAGUAACUAUGCACGUCUGGACGGUACCUAAUCAGAAAGCCACGGCUAACUACGU